CCCAACACUGUGAACACAAUAACUCAUGAAUGAGGCAACACAGGAUUUUCAAAUUGAUAUCAAAGGUGUAUUUAUCUGGAGGCUGAGGACAAAAACUGUGAGCCACCGGCAAUUUUUUACACACCAAGGAAAAGUGUUAGAAUUAAGAUGUUACUGACAAUCAUGACUAAUAAUUUCUUUAUUUGCAGAAAAAUCAGCCUCUGCAGCAGCUGAAGAAGUCAUUUAUUCUGAAGUCAAGUCACAACCAGCUCUUGAUUACAGCCUGUUGUAUGCAGAGGUCUCCCACAACAGAGCUAAAGUCAAGAUACAUAAAGGGAAAUCAGCCCCGGCAGCAGCUGAUGAAGCAGUUUAUUCUGAAGUCAAAUCAAAACGAGUUGUUAGUAAUACAGAAAUAAAAUAGCUUACAUACUGUGAUUUGUUGUUGUAAUGAUUAACUCAGAGUAAACUGAGUCCCAAAUCACCUUUAAACACUGAAUAAUUCUGCAUUGAUUUGAAUUUAACAGCACUGGAAGAAAGUAGAGGAACAACAAAAGAAGAUUACGAUUAACUUUUUUAUGAAAAGUUUUCUUUCAUUUUAAAAAAGCUGCAGCAGCAAGUGAUAGUGUGGCGUUAGGAUCAGGAUCUUUCCACUUUCACAUACGCAUUUAUUGAACUGCAUAUAUUGUUACAUAUAUAUUUACAGAUGUGUCCUUUGUCUUUGCAAAUCAUUAUUUUUGUUCCUCUGGAUGGAUUAAGAGCCAUUACAUAUAUUUCUAAAAACUUGUGUUUUUAAAUAGUUUUGUACAUUAAUAAACAUUUUUUAUUUGUUUGUUUCAUAUUUGGUAAGCUGCUGUCAAACUUUUAAUUCUGUUAUCUCAUUUUGUGUGUCAUUUAAACAAUGUAUUCUUUUUUAUAUAAACG